CCUACGGGAGGCAGCAGUGGGGGAUAUUGCACAAUGGGGGGAACCCUGAUGCAGCGACGCCGCGUGGGUGAAGGAGUUCUUCGGCAUGUAAAGCCCUAUCGGCAGGGAAGAAGCAAGACGGUACCUGACUACGAAGCCCCGGCUAACUACGUGCCAGCAGCCGCGGUAAUCCGUAGGGGGCGAGCGUUAUCCGGAUUCACUGGGUGUAAAGGGAGCGUAGACGGCCAGGCAAGCAAGGGGUGAAAGCCCGGGGCCCAACCCCGGGACUGCCCUUGGAACUGCAUGGCUGGAGGGCGGGAGGGGGAGGCGGAAUUCCUGGUGUAGCGGUGAAAUGCGUAGAUAUCAGGAGGAACACCGGCGGCGAAGGCGGCCUGCUGGACCGCGACUGACGUUGAGGCGCGAAAGCGUGGGGAGCGAACAGGAUUAGAUACCCCUGUAGUC
rnacentral:rRNA from 1 species